CCCGCUGAACUUAAGCAUAUCAAUAAGCGGAGGAAAAGAAACUAACAAGGAUUCCCCUAGUAACUGCGAGUGAAGCGGGAAAAGCUCAAAUUUAAAAUCUGGCGGUCCCUGUGGUCGUCCGAGUUGUAAUUUAGAGAAGUGUUAUCCGCGCUGGACCGUGUACAAGUCUCCUGGAAUGGAGCGUCAUAGAGGGUGAGAAUCCCGUCUUUGACACGGACUGCCAGGGCAUUGUGAUGCGCUCUCGAAGAGUCGAGUUGUUUGGGAAUGCAGCUCAAAAUGGGUGGUAAAUUCCAUCUAAAGCUAAAUAUUGGGGAGAGACCGAUAGCGAACAAGUACCGUGAGGGAAAGAUGAAAAGAACUUUGGAAAGAGAGUUAAACAGUACGUGAAAUUGCUGAAAGGGAAACGCUUGAAGUCAGUCGCGUCGUUCAGGACUCAGCCUUACCUCGGUUUGGUGCAUUUCCUUGUGGACGGGCCAGUGUCCAUGUUGAUUGCUGGAAAAGGUUCAGGGGAAUGUGGCUCUUUUAGAGUGUUAUAGCCUCUGUUCAUAUACAGUAGUUGAUAUGGAGUGAUACAGCAUGCUUCGGCGGUGCUUGUACUGGCAUAAUGGCUUUAAACGACCCGUCUUGAAACACGG
rnacentral:rRNA from 1 species